GUACACACCUCAGGCCUUCCAGUUCCUUGUACUUACAAAGCCGUUAGAGUCAUCAACCUAGAUCCCAACCUCAUGAACUCAGCUAAUCGCCAAUGUCGUCCACUUUCAAUGCAGUUCAUGUACAACUGUGGAGAGAUAAUGUAUGACCUGAAAGAAGACACAUCAAGCCACAACAGGAUCAUGAAGGAAAUCUGGGGAGAUCUCAACAGCUUCGUGACAGUCUUAAUCUUUGGUAUAAUUGUCUAA
rnacentral:lncRNA from 1 species